AUGUCAACCAGUGGCCGGGCGGGAUCUGACAAGAGAAAGGAGAAACCAACAGGCUCGACUGUUAGGGGGGAGGAAGGUGUCGACUCCAUGAUGGGCUGCCUAAACCUGCUCGCAGACGAGACAGAGGUGGUGGACAUGAGUGCCGAUGAGGAGGAGGAUGCAGCUCCGCCGGUGAAGUGGUCCCUGUUCGGGAAAGUUUUGUCUCCGUCAGUGAUCCACUCACAUACCACCUUGGCUGCUAUGCGGCCAGCUUGGGGCAAUCCCAGGGGGCUCAGGCUAAGGACGGUGCGUGACAAUGUCUUCGUCGCUGAUUUUGCAAAUAAAGGGGACAGGGAUAGAGCUCAAGAGGGCACACCGUGGAUGGUGGGCAGGCAUGCUGUAAUCCUACGGGAUUACGACCCUCGCCUCAGGCCCUCAGAAAUCAGGUUUGAUUCUAUGGCCAUCUGGGCUAGGAUCAUCAACCUUCCUUUCGAGUUGAUGAACAAUAGAAAGGGUUUGAAGAUUGCGAAGAUGAUUGACAAAAAUUGCAAGGUGGAUGUGGAUGAAGACGGGGAGGCCUCUGGCACCUUCCUUCGGGCAAGGGUUGCAAUCCCUUUUGCCGAGCCAAUUCAUAGAUGGGUCACCAUAUCCAGGGGAGGUGCUACGGAGAAGUUUGAGUUGCAGUAUGAGAAGCUGCCUUUCAUUUGUUUCAGUUGUGGUUUGAUUGGACAUAGCGACUUGGAGUGUCCAAAUCCUGCUGAGCGUGAUUCGGAUGGGAAGCUCCCUUUCGAUCGUGGUUUGAGGGCGCCAGAAGACAGAAGACGACGGAUGCAAUCCUUUAGUCAGGCGGCUGCUUCAGCAUCUUGGUAUAGCGACCCCAUAGAUAGGGGAGGUGGGGGAGGGGCGAAAUCUUUCCCUGGCUCCGCGGCCAGCAGAACCUCCCGAGAAUCGGGGGAAGGGGAGAACGUCAAGUCGGGCAAGCAGGAGGUGGCCUCACCUCCACCCAAAGUAAAGUUGGCCCAAGGGGCCUCUCGGAUGUCUGAGAUUGCAAAGAAAUUAUUCCCGGCGAAGACUGAGCGAAAAGGGAAUGGACAGAAGAAUGAUUUUGACAAACCCAACACGGCUCUGGCUAUGGUAGUAGCGGGUACCAUUGGGGUAGAGGCUGAUAAAAGACUGGAGAACUUGGAUAGGAGCAUCGAGACUUUGAAGAAGCAAAAGAAUGAAAACUCCCACCGCAAGACAAGCGUGGGGCAGGAGGGAGAGAGCGGGGAACAAUUUGUCACAACCUUAGAAGCGGGGCUGCAUGUACAGCCCUGCAAAGAUCAAUGA
rnacentral:rRNA from 1 species